rnacentral:lncRNA from 1 species
UAUCUGCACUUUGAUUUUGUUUUUUAAAAAAAUAUAGGAUGCAAAUAAUGGCGUAAAUGAUACGAUAUUUGUGGAGAGUGAAGAAAUUGAGGGCUCGUUUUGUUCAUCCAUUUUGGGUAUGAAAUGGAAAUCGGUUUGAUCAAAUCCGGUUAAUUUUGUUUGGUUCGCAUGAAUCAGUUUGAGAUUCCUAUUCCGGACUGGAAUGGGAAUGGCCCAUUAGCCUUUAACUUGAUUCCGGUCUUCUAGCCCGGAUUGAGAUUUCAUUCCGGAAGCUCACUAAGUUCUCGAAGCCCAUGUGACCAUCUCACCCUCCUUCUCUUCACCCCUUUCUUAUCAAAAAAAAAAAAACAAACUAUUCUCUCUCAAAACCCCAUUCCUAACCCAUAUCAAUAAAAGUUUUUAAAAAUAAAUUUGAUAUUUUUUUUGAAAAACUUAUUAGAGAAUAGUAUUAUAUUUUUCAUAAAUUUUAAAUAAUAUAAAUUUAUAUUUGAGAGUAAAAUUAGUAUUAUAGUAUCCUAUAAUUUUUUUAGUUUAUACGAACCAAACAAUGAAAUGUGAAUAACUCAUUCCAAUUUUCAAUCCACAAAUAAACCAAACGUUUUGGGGGAGUGGGCCAUUCCAAUUACCAUUUCAAUUCAUUCCCAUUUCAUUAUCCAUUCCAAUUCCACCCUUGAACCAAACAGGCCCUGAAUGUAACUAAAAGUUUGGUGCGAUUCUUAA